UUGAGGGCGGCUAUAUAAGGAACUGCUGGCGGCGCGGCCUGUCCUUUUACGUCGGGAUUGGAGAGUUAUUUGUUCUGUUGCAGGAACGAUGGCGCUGUCUUCCAGUGUUAUGUGGAAACGGUUACUUGAAGAUACUAAGAUAUACAAGAAGAUUCCAAAAUGUGUGGAAGAAUAUUCAUUAGAAAGUCACUUUAAAACCUGACAGUUUUACCAGUGUCCUAAGUGUUGAAUGAAACUAGAUGCCACUGACUAGCAGAUUAACAAUGAGUGGGGAUCACUACUUGUCAGAGGAGGCCCUGUCUGAAGUUUAAAGGAGCAACAAUUUCUGGCUACCACGAGGCAAUGAUCAUCAACAUCCUAAGGACAGAUGACCAGAUAAGUGCCCUUGAAGGAAGAAUUCAACAUUGCCUGUGAAGCACUCCUGCCUGAAAACAUCAAAAAUGAGUAUGAAUUUGAUAAAGCCUCUGGAUAUAACUACCAAUUUACAGAUGACAGAAAAAUAUGUUAAACUACAUCACAGAAAUAAAAUUGAAAUUUAUAGUCUAUGGAAAACUCGACAACACAAAUGAUUUCUUUAAUAAAUAAAUUGUGGGAGAGGUGGUGAGAAAAUAAAUACAUACAUAAAUAAAUUGCAAGAAAAGAAAAAAACGAAUUGAAUGGAACCUUAUAAAUCAAGGGGCUAAAAAAAUACAUCAACAUUCUCAAUGUUUGUAUCUCAUCUGGAUUCUGAUUCACUAUCGUGAGAAAUUAUGACACUUAUGGGAUAUUUGAAUACUGGCAGAGCAUUUCAUGUAUUAAGGAAUAAUUAGGGCUUUUGUUAGAUAUGAUAAUAGUAUUAUGGCUGGUUUUUUUGUUGUUUGAGUGUGUACUUUGUAGACAUGUGUACUGAAUUAUUUAUUGAUGCGAUAAUUUGAUGUCUAAGAUCUGCUUCAAAAUAAUACAGAAAGUGAAGGAAAUGCUUGAAGGGUAUAGAAGAAAUAAGACUGGUUUUAUGUUGAUAAUUGUUGAGGCUUGAUGAAUUUGUGGGAGUUUAUUAUAUUCUUUCUCUAUAUGUUUGAAAUUUUUACAAUAAAAAGGUUUUUUUAUCUAUGA